CCCGAGACUAGAGUCACAUCCUGACAGCUCUUGUCCUGGUGUGCUAGAGUCCUCGGAGAGAAUCUGCUGGUCUUGAUUCACUGGCGAGGGCAGUCAGUGCCCCCGGGAGUGCCCAGAUCAGAAACAUGC
ensembl:snoRNA small nucleolar RNA, H/ACA box 3B